rnacentral:lncRNA from 1 species
CCAUAUUUUCUUUAAAAAAAAAAUCUACAUAAAUUACAUUGGGAAUUAUAUUGAGAAAUUGGUAGGAAAUAGGAAUGUAGUUAAAAUGUGGAGCAUCAAAAUCUCUCCGAGGAGUUCCCUGUUGGUCUGGGUCUCAGGAGUAAGCCACUGAUGACAUUGUCUCCAUCACAUCACGGUACUUGGGAGGGGGUCAGAGGAAGUUUAACAGAUUUUAAAAAAUGUGGGAGGUAAUGUAUUUGGACGGCUGAGCUGUAUUUUCCUCAGUCUCUCUGUCUCUCCAUGCAACCGUCAUUCAUUCAUGUUGUACAUACACAAACAAUGAUCAAAUGUAAAAUGUGGGCUGGGCGUGGUGGCACUCACCUGGAAUCUCAGCACUUUGGGAGGCCGAGGCAGGCCAAUCACCUGAGCCCGGGAGUUCGAAACCAGCCUGAGCAAUAUAAGACCACCCCGUUUCUACCAAAAAAAAAAAAAAAAAAAAAAAAAGCCUGGUUUGGUAGCUCGUGCCUGUAGUCUUACCUACUCUGGAGGCUGAGUUGGAAGGAUCUCUGGAGUCCAGGAAUUCGAGGCUGCAGUGAGCUAUGAUCAUGCCACUGCACUCCACUCUGGAAGACACAGCAGGACCCCGUCUCUGGAAAAAAAAUGGAGGAAAAGAAAAUAUCCUUUUAGAGAUAUUGGUGAAUCAAGCUUACCCCACAGAGGUGCAUGCUGAAGAUGACUGAGUGGACUGGAGACUGUCCCCUGGGCCACUGUGAGAGGCCUGUGCUGUAGAUGGGAGGGCCACAGGUGGGAAGAAGCCUGGUCACUGUGUCACCCUGGGGGAGAGGUGGGGGUGUGCUCCUUCUGUUCCAUUUUUGUGUAAACCUAAACACCGCUCUAAAAAAAAAUUAAGCCUUUUAAAAAUUCCAAAACAAAAAGGUCCCAGAAAAAAAGAGACACUUUUAAGUAACUUAGUUGCCCAUAGAGCCAGAGAAAGUCUGGUCUUAGGUACAAAUCAUCUUGGUUUAUCACCUGAGGAAGCACUUGUGAGUUUUAAAAUUCAUCAAUUAAUAAUCAUGUUAUGUUUCAAACUCCAACCCACUUGUGAUCAUUAAAAAAUCACCUCUAUUUUAAAAUCUAGUGUUCCCCUUAUAUGACAUUCAUGGCUAUAACAGUGGUCUGAAUAUUCUUGGUAAAAUAAAAUUUCAACCAUGGUCUGAGGGUAAAAAGCAAAGAGUAAGAAAAUGAACAAUGAUAACCACAACAAACUGUAAAACAUCAGCUCAAAGCCCUCUGUCAACACCGUAAAUGGGAUGAAUUAUGAAUCAAGAUAGCUUUGCCUGCACUCACAGAGCCCACAUUGCACAGAGGCUCCAUCUGUAACGUAGUGUGCUGGCUUGUGUAUCUCGACCAUUAAGGCAGGGUGGGCUGCAAGCUUGGUUCAUUCAGCUACCUGAAGAUGUCCUUGAGGGCCCAGAGGUUUUCCAUCUUUCUGGUCUGCUGCCCACAGUCUGCCUGCUUCCUGUUUGACCUCUGUUCCCGUCCAGCAGGAGUAACGGGGUCAUUUCUGGAAUGUCUCCCAAAAGUGCAAGGAAGGCAUUGCUUGCAAGGAUCCAGCAGACACCUCCUAGAACACCCUUGGCUCAGACAAAGUUCCUCAAAGAUGUGCAAAGGAUGAAAACCACACAAACUAGAACUUAGAACAGCGCAUGACGUAUGGGAGCAUCCAGCAGACAUUAAAUUCUCCAAGGGAGGCCCUGUUGAGACGAAGUGCCCCUUCAUCCCCACUCCACUUCAAGAGCCUUGUUGCUUGGGAGGGAACUCCCUGUUUUUAUCUGUGAAGGGAAAAACAAAGGGUGGUGGGCGGGGGCGCCCUUAAAAGAAAUGCCUGGAGUUUUGUUGACUUUCAAAGCUUUCCUUAAAUGAAACUAUCUUCUAUUAUCGUUGAUGAAAACAAUCAACCCCUGUCAAGUAUUUGGAGAGAUUUAUUCUGAUGUGAGUGACCACGAUCCAUGGUCACAUUCAGAUUUGAGUGACCAUGACCCAUGACAAAGCCCCAGGAGAGCCUGAGAACACGUGCCCAAGGGGGUCAGACUAUAGCUUGGUUUUAUACAUGUUAGAGAGACAUAAGACAUCAAUCGAUACAUGUAAGAUGUACACUGGUUUGGUUCAAAAAGGUGGGACAACUCAAAGUGGGGUGCUUCCAGGACAUAGGUGGAUUCAAAGAUUUUCUGAUUGGCAAUUGGUUGAAAGAGUUAAGUGGUUACCUAAAGUCUCGGAAUCAAUAGAAAGGAGUGUCUGGGUUAAGAUAAGGGGCUGUGGUGACUGAGGUUCUUAUUACACAGAUGAAGCCUCCAAGUAGCUGGCUUUAGAGAGAAGAGAUUGUAUUACUUUUAAUGGCAUUACAAUUACUUUUAAUACCAUUACUUUAAAUGGCAAAAACCGCAAUUACUUUUGCACCAACCUAAUACAUGUUUCUUAUCAGGGCUAUUUCACAAUAUGUCAAAGAAAU